rfam:Salmo salar isolate Sally breed double haploid chromosome ssa23, whole genome shotgun sequence.
ACUGGCUGAGGUAGUAGUUUGUGCUGUUGGUUGGGUUAUGACAUUUCCCGCUAUGGAGAUGACUGCGCAAGCUACUGCCUUGCCAGU